UUUUUUUUUUUUUUUUACAUUUAACAAAAAUAUGCAUUGGUGCUUUGUGAAAUUUUUUGUAGAAAUGAUAAAAUCAAAAACUGAAAUCUUGUGUUAAAUAUUUAAAUAUUCUAUUAAUUCUUAGUGUUUCACUUGUUAAUUCCUGAUUACAUUCUGUUGAUGCAAAUAUACUUAAAUUUUACAGAACACUUUAACUAUUCAAUAAAUGUAGUUAUAUUUUAUAGAAAUGCAAAGUUUUAUGUGCCAGGUUUUCAUUUCCUAUUUGUGUGUUUACGAAAUAGUUUGUUUCAGAUUUAUAACAUUAUGUUAUAGUUAUGUUAUGAAGUCAUUAUGAUUAUUUAUAUGUUGCAGUACAAAUGUAAACAUCCUGUCUUCUUGUAUAUGUGAUUAGUAUAUACCUAUCUUGUAUAUA